ensembl:lncRNA
AAAAAUAGCGAAAACAACAAAAAUAGCACUUAUGACUUCGAACCAAAUGUAAAAAACGGUGCUUCAAUUUUAAGCAGUCCAGAAGAAAUAAAAACUUACAUAAAAAAUAUAUUCACAAAAAGUAAAUAUUGCGAUGUGAAAUUUUAUUUUUAUACAUGUGUUUAUAUUGUGUAUAUAAUUGGAAAAAUAAUGAAACAAGUUGAUCACUAUAGUAGCAAUAAAAACAAAAAAACUAACGAUAAAACUUACACAUAUGAUCAUCUACUAUUUAUAUCUUAUGACCUUUCUUAUUUACUUUAUAAUGAUUAUAUAUUACAAGAAAAUAAAACUAAAAAAAAAUAAUAUUCUUAUAAAAGAUUUACAAAUACGUCAAAAUAGUGCCAUGUCUUCUUUUAUAUAUUUACCGUCAUUCCAAAAUAUAAAAGAAAUGGAGCUAACAAAAUUAUAUAAUUUUGAAAAAGAAAUAGUGUCAAAUUGUUACUCAAACAAGUUGUCCAUUAUUAAUUAUGUUAAUAAAAUUAAUGGAAAAAAAAAUAAACAUUUUAACAAAUUAUCAACGGAGGUAAUUAUCCAAUCAACUUGUUUUUUUUUUUUUUUUUUUUUUUUUUUUUAUUAUUUCUUUAUUGUACAAGUACCUUAACAUAUUUUUUAAUGCAUGUAUAUAUGUGUGCCAUGUCUUUUUUUUUUUUUUAUUUAUUUUUUUUUUUUAUGGCAGUACCAAAGUGAUAUAUCCGUUUUAGUUCUUUACUUAAAAAUGUUAUGUAAAAAAAUAGCGUAUUAUGUCUUUACCUGCAUUUACGAGAAACACGAGGCGUUAAUCAGAAAACGAAUUAACAUCAUGCAAAAUAAUUUUCAAACGAAAUUUGAAAAAUUAAAUGACGAAUUACAACUAUCAGAUAAAUCAUAUGAUAUUGUUACAAAAAGAAAAAUAGAACUAAAAAUAUUUUUUACUUUUUAUGUUGUUGGUAUUAAACAUUUGUUAGCUAAUCACUUAUAUUCCUUUUAUGAAAAUACAUAUAACAACUUAAUUUUUUUCCUUUACCUUUUGAAUUUACUACCUGCGGAUUCCACUUUACAACAACACCCUUCACAGCAACAGGGUACUUUAAAUGAAAAUAAUAAUCUUACAAGCGAGCGAAAAAUUUGUUACUUAAAAAUUGACUACCGUGAUAUGUCCUCCGAAUAUGACCUCAAUGACAUUAUAAAAAAAAUAAGAAACACGUACAGUGUCGAUGACGACAAAAAGGAUCUUGAUAUAAAAGAAGACAAUAUGAAUAAUAUGAAAAAAGGCGUGCUUUAUAUGGCUUAUUAUGAAGAUAAUACCUUUUUUGUUAAUAAAUUAGAAAAAAAAAUAAGUAAAUAUAUGUCAAAGUUGUAUACUUAUAUGGAAAAACUUUUGGACGUGAAAAAAAAAGAAACAAUCAAACUAAUUUCAAAUGAUAUGAAAUUACAUAGAAAGUAUUAUGAAUGUAAAAACGAAUGAAUGACAAAAAGAGGAUAAGCUGUGAUCUAUGCAUUAAAAAAAAAAAAAAAAUAAAAAAAAAAAAAAAAAAAUAGUACGUAUAUAG